UGGAAACUGCAAAUCCACGAAUGACUGCAUGUAGAAAGCAGUAGCAAGAGGAGAAAGAAGAAUAAGAAACCAGAAAAUUAAUCUCAAGAAACUGACAUUAGUAAAGAGUAUCGCUACAGGAAAAAUGCUGUGACAGCACUUGUCUUGAUACAUUAAUUAUCAAGAAGUUAAGUUCUCACAGAGAUGGAAAUAGAUUUUUGUUGCAAGACAACUGAGCUAUCCUUUCAGUCAUUCAAUAAAUAUCACUUCAAGAAUGCAUAUGGGAGUUAAAAGCAACCUUGUCAAAUUUUCAAUAUCAAUCACACAGUUUCCCCCCUUAUUUUUCUAACUACUUCAAGAAAAUCAUGCUCAUUGAACUAUUUCUCUUGCUUACCCUGCACUUGCCUUUCCAAAAUCCAAAGUGAUUGUAUUUGAUGUAAAGUAGGAUUAAAGUUUUCAGCUACAGAGUUACAAAUUCAAUAAUAAUCUUUCCCUACACAUUACCAUCAAUAGAUCACACUUCUAACUAUGCCUUUGAAUACAACUGUUAUACUGGAUUCAAGCAUACAGUCAGUCUAAUCUCUCAUAUUUCAGAAGAAGUACUUACACAUGCCAAAGGAUUAAGACAGAG
rnacentral:misc_RNA from 1 species